CUAUGUUUUUGCUUGUGUAAAUAAGUACAUACGUAUAUAUCUCUGCUAUAUACUACACGUCUUCUAUCAUCAGUAGUCCUUGGCCUUACACACAGAUGAAGUAUAGAAUAGACUUGGCGGUAUGAUACAAAGUAUAAUAAGAUGUUUACAAAAUUCUCACAAAUGUACGUACAUAUUUGCUAUGUUAUAUCGAUUUUGUUGAUUAGUCUGUUAACAACUUUUUGUGCGUAUUUAUUAUUUGUUCCUUUUAAAACUUCAUAUACCCGUUCAUGAGAGUGCAUAACCUCAAGUGUAAGAAAAAUUCGUGUCAGGUGGAUGUAUAAUAUAAUAUGUAGAUAUAUAAAAAGAAAAAAAAAAAAAGCUUCUUUAAAGUUACAUUUUAUAUCCUAGUUUACACACCAUUAAAUGCAACUCUUAAUUGUCAUCAGUUGGUCGAUUUCCAUGAAGAAAAGUGUAUAUCGCAUUCCUGAGUAUAAUGUUUGGGGUAAAUGAAGUAUCUCGAAGAGGUUUGUUCGUCAUUGGACUUGUAUAU